rnacentral:rRNA from 1 species
UAAGGAAUAUUGGUCAAUGGGCGCAAGCCUGAACCAGCCAUGCCGCGUGCAGGAAGACGGCCCUAUGGGUUGUAAACUGCUUUUGUCAGGGAAUAAACCUGUUUACGAGUAGACAGCUGAAGGUACCUGAAGAAUAAGCAUCGGCUAACUCCGUGCCAGCAGCCGCGGUAAUACGGAGGAUGCAAGCGUUAUCCGGAUUCAUUGGGUUUAAAGGGUGCGCAGGCGGAUUGGUAAGUCAGGGGUGAAAGCCCACAGCUCAACUGUGGAACUGCCCUUGAUACUGUCAGUCUAGAGUAUAGUUGAAGUUGGCGGAAUGUGUCAUGUAGCGGUGAAAUUCUUAGAUAUGACACAGAACACCGAUCGCGAAGGCAGCUAGCUAAGCUAUAACUGACGCUCAUGCACGAAAGCGUGGGGAUCAAACA